GAGCAAGAAAAGAAAGAAAUGCUAGGCGCGGUCACGUGUGCACGCUUGGGCUCGUUACUGCUCAGAAUUUUAGAAUCACAGAUCCAUCAGUGAUCAGGCAGCUGCAGCUGUCAGGGACCAUCACCACCUACGCGACUGAUCCAGGGGGAGUGUGGGAGAAGCCCUCCUACUCUUUUCUUUCUCCUUUGUCCUUCUCAUUCCUGACCCCUUCAGGAUUCUCAGUCUUCCCUCCAGGAGACUUCUCGCCAGUCUUGUCUCACUCCAAACUCCUACCCCCACCUCAUUCCUCAGUGCAUUCGUACAUUUCUCCAAGCAGGCCUUUCCAGAUCGACACUAAGUUCCAAUCCCGAGCUGUGUGACCCAGCACCAAUUCAGUCACGAUGAUGACUUGCAACUGCUUAAUCAGUUUGCCUUUCCUCCUAGCUGUGAGGUUUACCGUGCAGGAAUGCAAACACCAGAGAGAAAAUCAGUCUCUGGAUUGAUGCCUUUGAUGGACCAAGAUGCAGCUGAUGAAGCAUUGAACCAAUUAGCAUCCAGCAGGAGGGCACCCUUGCUCUGUGUCCUUGAAGGUUAAAGCUGUCAAAAAGUGGUCUCCCUCACGUUCGGCCGCCUUGCUCUCAGAGAUCUAGAACUGGACUCAGUCACAAUUUUGGGCCAAGGAGACCGACGCGCUGUCGCCUGCACUAAGAGAAACGCAACGAACAACUUUAUCAAUGCAUUGCAUUACUAUAUACUAUAGCAGCAACUAUACUUUUAAAUGAUUCGAAUCUUGGAGUUUCAAACUGAACCGUCCUGCCCGGCGGGCAUUUCUGCGAAGACCGCGGGUCACCUUCUGAAUUUUUACCUUCAUAAACAGCAACGACUGCGCUCUCUCGCACGGCGCCCCGUUUUUUCGUAG